UACGUAGGGUGCAAGCGUUAAUCGGAAUUACUGGGCGUAAAGCGUGCGCAGGCGGUUGUGCAAGACCGAUGUGAAAUCCCCGGACUUAACCUGGGAAUGGCAUUGGUGACUGCACGGCUAGAGUGUGUCAGAGGGGGGUAGAAUUCCACGUGUAGCAGUGAAAUGCGUAGAGAUGUGGAGGAAUACCGAUGGCGAAGGCAGCUCCCUGGGAUAACACUGACGCUCAUGCACGAAAGCGUGGGGAGCAAACAGG
rnacentral:rRNA from 1 species